AUGGAUUUUGUAAGUCUUGUAUAACUAGGUCAAUUUAGAAGUAAGUUGACAUUGAACUCUGACCGAAAUCAACUACUUUAUUGUGCAAUGCAUAUCGUGUGUGUUAUUUCCUGUUAUCAGAUAUUUAAAUGUUAAUUUUUGUGUUAAUUAACAGUGUAUGAGAAUAAAAAACACACCAACAAAGAAAAACUUGUUAAAUAUAUCACUUUGAGGUUGGCUACAAAGGAGUGGACUUUAAAAAUGUACAUAAUAUAUCUACAAAAAUAAGUUUUCCUACAAUACUAUGAUGUUUGAUUAUCAUAAUGAGUCUUAGCACAUACAAAAAAGUAUUUAAUGUGAUCUCUUGGUAUUAAGGCAACAGUAGUAUACUGCUGUUCAAAAGUCAUAAAUCAAUUGAAGAAAAAGAAAUCUGGGGUUACAAAGCAAAUGCUUGGGAACACAUCAACUAUAAGAGGAAAACAAACGAUUAACUGGAUCACAUUAGAGCAAGAAAAACAAACACAAACACAAACUAUUUUGAUGUAGGAUCAAUUUUAAUCAUUAUUAACCUCUGAAUUACUUAUUAGUGGAAUGUAAAAAAAAAAUAUCUUUCAAUUUCUAUAAAAAGAAUUAUCUGCUGAUUUUAGUAGAAACUGGUUCUUUUGAAUUAAAAUAAAAUAAUUGGAGAGAGUGGUAUUUAGUCAUAAGUAGUUGCUAGCUUUCUGUGCCUUUAUUGUUCAAGCCAGGUUGUGAAAUUUUAAUUUACUUGUUUUCUUAUUGCAGAUAAUAUGAAAACACCAUCUUAUGAAUUACGUUUAAGAUUGUACAGACAUGUAUUUUUACUUUCACUUUAGAAUUAUAUAUGAUUGUAUUGGGCACCUUUUUCUACUUUCACUUCAGAAUAAUAAUGAAUCACUGUUAUUCACUAUGUUACUGUGUAUGGGUUGUUGUUAAAAGUAGAUAUAUGAAAAUCAUGUUUAUAGUUGGAUCUUUUUAUCUUAGUGUAUUUCUAUCCAUUUUAAUUUUCAGACAAUAUGGCCAUUGGUUAACAAAUUAUAGUAAGAACAUGAAGAAUACGAGUUACAAAAUAUAAUUCCAUUUUUAUAGUUAUUGUGAACUUUUUUUAAAUAUUGCUAAAUGUUUGUUAGAUGAUUAAUUUUUUAUUAAGGAGAUCAAUUGUUGAGGUUUUGUGCACUACAUAUUUAUAAUUGUGCUUCACACAGUUUGUAUGCUCAAAGUUGUUUAUUUUGUAACUACAGAUGCAAGAUUUCAUUCAUUUACAUAAAUCAUAUCAUACUCAGUUUUAUCAAAAGAUAAAUUUACAGAUACAUAUUUUCUGUUUGAUAAUUUCAAUCCAACUUUUUUCAAAACUGCAGUCAGCUCCUACAUUUUUCGAUCAGCAUUUUUUUCAAUAUAUUUGUAAAGGCAGUCUGUUUUGGUACAUUUUUUUUAACAAAGAUGUGGUGAUGCUUGGUGGAAGAUUUGAAUUAAUACCAUGGAGGAACUGUUGUUCAUAUCUUGGAUUUGUAGAUUUCAGCUUUACUUAAAUGCAGAUUUUUUUAAUUUAAAAAAAUGUAAAUUUUUUGCUUCAAAAAUAAUUUACAAUUUUACAGGUUUACAAGAUGUAGCCUAUUUGAUUGAUUGAUUGAUUGAUUGAAGCUGUUUUAGUGUCCAGUAUAAAUUAAUACAUGAAAAAUACAUUUUUUGUUACACUAUCUUCUUGAUUAUGAAUUUCAAAAACCUUUCUUAAAAAAAUCCUGUGUAAAAUAUAUUGUUGUUUGGUGAUGUAGAGCGUUAUACAACCCCAAACUAUCUUACAUAUUGUCAAUAAUUUUAGUAGCAUAUAUUAUUGAUAUUUAGCUACUGAAAAAAGUAAAACUGUUUAAAGGAGUAGGUCUUGCAAUGGCUGAUUCUGGCCUCAAAUUUCAGGUUCAUCUAACGAAAGAUUUUG
rnacentral:lncRNA from 1 species